CGGGGGGCAGCAGUGGGGAAUAUUGGACAAUGGGCGAAAGCCUGAUCCAGCAAUGCCGCGUGAGUGAUGAAGGCCUUAGGGUUGUAAAGCUCUUUUACCCGGGAUGAUAAUGACAGUACCGGGAGAAUAAGCCCCGGCUAACUCCGUGCCAGCAGCCGCGGUAAUACGGAGGGGGCUAGCGUUGUUCGGAAUUACUGGGCGUAAAGCGCGCGUAGGCGGCUUUGUAAGUCAGAGGUGAAAGCCUGGAGCUCAACUCCAGAACUGCCUUUGAAACUACAUCGCUAGAAUCAUGGAGAGGUUAGUGGAAUUCCGAGUGUAGAGGUGAAAUUCGUAGAUAUUCGGAAGAACACCAGUGGCGAAGGCGACUAACUGGACAUGUAUUGACGCUGAGGUGCGAAAGCGUGGGGAGCAAACAGGAUUAGAUACCCCUGUANUC
rnacentral:rRNA from 1 species